rnacentral:rRNA from 1 species
AACGAACGCUGGCGGCAUGCCUAACACAUGCAAGUCGAACGAGACCUUCGGGUCUAGCGGCGCACGGGUGCGUAACGCGUGGGAACCUGCCCUUAGGUUCGGAAUAACUCCCCGAAAGGGGUGCUAAUACCGGAUAAUGUCUUCGGACCAAAGAUUUAUCGCCUUUGGAUGGGCCCGCGUUGGAUUAGCUAGUUGGUAGGGUAAAAGCCUACCAAGGCGACGAUCCAUAGCUGGUCUGAGAGGAUGAUCAGCCACACUGGGACUGAGACACGGCCCAGACUCCUACGGGAGGCAGCAGUGGGGAAUAUUGGACAAUGGGCGAAAGCCUGAUCCAGCAAUGCCGCGUGAGUGAUGAAGGCCUUAGGGUUGUAAAGCCCUUUUACCCGGGAUGAUAAUGACAGUACCGGGAGAAUAAGCUCCGGCUAACUCCGUG